rnacentral:rRNA from 1 species
CUCGUAGGCGGUUCGUCGCGUCCGGUGUGAAAGUCCAUCGCUUAACGGUGGAUCCGCGCCGGGUACGGGCGGGCUUGAGUGCGGUAGGGGAGACUGGAAUUCCCGGUGUAACGGUGGAAUGUGUAGAUAUCGGGAAGAACACCAAUGGCGAAGGCAGGUCUCUGGGCCGUUACUGACACUGAGGAGCGAAAGCGUGGGGAGCGAACA